UUGGCAUUGCCCCCAUUCAAGCACUCUCCAAGGCCUACAGUGGAGAAGAGAAGGCUGCCAAGCCCCUGUGAAGAAGAAAGAGACCGUGUAGCGUCCCAGCCCCUCGUGACUUCACACUGGGUGUGAAGACAGAAUAGGAUCCUGAAAGAGGCUGACUUUAACGAAAGGAAUGAGUGUGAGCACUUUUAGACAUGGCGUCUAGAAUGUCCUUCCAAUUAAGAGGUGCACAGCACUGUGUCACAGUGAGGACAAAACACCCUGACAAACACUGAUCCAAGGGGAGAGAAACCACCUCUGGACCUCCAAGUGAAUGGGCACACCCACCGUCUGUCCUCAACUAAGGCCUGAACUGGAGUUUCUGUUCCUGGAACUUGGAGUUCCAAGUCCUGGGCUGUGAAUUCCAGGAGUAUCGGAGACCACCAUGCCAGACUUUUAUAGAGGAAACCGGAUUCAGAUGCGAGGUUCGCAGCAAAGGCGCUAAAGAAUCGCACAGUCAACCUCGUCUACAGAUGGCUGGAGGCAUGAGACACAAGCUUUCAAAGCAGUUUUUAAGCCACCAUCCAUAAAGGCUCAGGAAAGAAUCCAGAAACCACCUCAAAAUUUCCCAUGAUGGUUGACAUCAAGAGAACACCAUUCUGGACCAGUUUCUGAGGUAACGGGAGUAUUUUCUCUGCCACCAGUUCCUGUGAGCAGUAGCAAUGUGUGUUCACCGUGCUUGAGAUGUACCCACUGCAACUGAGGCUCUGGAUUAUUUAUUUAAAUUAACUUUAACUUUACAGAGUCAUGCUCAGCUAGUGUCUGCUGGAAAAAAAGAACAUGGCCUGGCCUUUCCCCUAUGCUCACGGAUUGUGAAGGGAUAUAAGGCAAGGUAGGAACAUGUGUCAUUGUGACCUUGCUUCCUCCAACCUGGCAUGUGCGCUUACUAAUUAACCUACUUAUAGAAGGGUUGGAGAGAUGGCUCAGCGGUUAAUA